CCAGGAGAUAAAGUAUGAAAUAUGGAUAUCCUCAAGAGACGAGUAAAGAGAUUCUGCCUUAGAGCUUCCUGCAAGGAAUCCAGCCCUUCCAACACCUGGUUUCAGCUCGUUCAUCCUGUGUCAGACUUCUGCAAAACUUAUUAUACCUGAAUUCCUGAUUAGUAUUGUCAGCAAUGAAGUCCUCUCCUUAGAACUCACGUCUACAUUCAGUAACUGGCUGUAACAGGCAUAUCUCUGCAGAAUCUAAACUAGAGGCAGCACCAUUUUUCAUUCCCAGCACAAUGUAUGAAGAUGCCAACUUAUCCACAUCCUCCUGCACAUCUGUUUUUCCCCAAAAAUAUGAAGAAAUAUUUAACUCAACCAAAAAAAGGCAACCCAAUGAAAAUGGACGAAUGAUUUAAAUAAACAGUAAAAUGUACAAAUAGCUAAUGAGCACAUGAAAAGACGCUCAGCAUCAUUAGUCAUUCAGUUCAGUUCAGUUCAGUUGCUCACUCGUGUCCAACUCUU